rnacentral:rRNA from 1 species
UACGGAGGGUGCAAGCGUUAUCCGGAUUCACUGGGUUUAAAGGGUGCGUAGGCGGGUAGGUAAGUCCGUGGUGAAAUCCCUAAGCUUAACUUAGGAACUGCCACAGAUACUAUCUGUCUUGAAUACUGUGGAGGUGAGCGGAAUAUGUCAUGUAGCGGUGAAAUGCUUAGAUAUGACAUAGAACACCAAUUGCGAAGGCAGCUCACUACACAGUCAUUGACGCUGAGGCACGAAAGCGUGGGGAUCAAACAGG